rnacentral:lncRNA from 1 species
CUUGUGCAGUGGACUCGGGUGAACCGGAGCGCAGCAGUCCCUCUGCUCUCCUCCACCUUCCUGGUGUUUAUCUGCCUGUUGAUGGGGUAUCUGCUAUUGAAUUCGUCUCCACGGGCAACCUGAGGAAAGCAAACACAACUUCUUUAGGUAGUACCAGAUGGUGCCCUCAGGGACUGGGAUGUUUCCAUCUCUGCUCCAACGCUACUAAAGAGACAGGUGUCCACAUCCCCAAAAAUGCGACUAGAAAUGACAUCUUUGUUGACAGCCUCAUCAGAUUAAUUGGACUUCAGGACUGAGCUAAUUCUCACAUCAAGAGGUUUGAGAACAUACUGUCGGAGCUGCGUGAAGAACUUUGAACUCCUGUUUCUUGUGCUGUCGCCAGAUCAUAACAGCUUUGAUGGACUGGAUUAGGAAAUCAAUAUACACACAUUGACAUGCUAAUCCCUUCAGGGACACUCAUUAAAUAACAUUCAGAUAAAGGGGCCAUAACUGUAUGUGUGGAAUCAAUGGCUGCAGCAGAGUUAGGUUUUGUUUGCUUUAGUACUUUUAAAUAAUUUAACAUUUUUAAAACUCCAAACAUGCAAAGCAUUAAAAAUAUGAAUUAAACCCCUGAGAGCACUCAAAUUAGUAUUAAAUUAGACCUGAAACGUUAAGAGCAUGAAAAAGAGGCAGGUUUUCAUUUUUGUUCAUGCACAUUAAUGUCAAGAAACUCCUCAGAGUGAAAGGGAUCUGCUGGGUCACAGGUUCAGUUCUCUGCUGCAGGAGAUAUCUGCGCCAUCCAGUGUCUCCCAUAAAGUGAUCAAGCACUGUUUUAAAACUAAUUAGAAUUUUUCCCCUCCUGGGACUUUGCUCUGUAACCUUUCUCCAGGAAUGGGUAGAGAUCCUCAUCUAAUUUCAGACUAAAUGUAUUCCUGGCUAAUUUUUUGUUGUUGUUGUUGUUCUUUUUUCUUCCUUUUCAUUCAGCCUCCAGAUCCUUUUCCCUUCUUUGUUGCUCAUACGAUGUAUCUGCAGACAGGG